AACUAUAGAGCUCUGAAUUCCUCAUUGCACUAUGAGGAUACGUAGGCAUGAGGGCCCUAAUCCUCACCGAGCACUUUAUCUAUUUCUCUUCCUUUCCCUUAUUCUUUUGCGAGUAAUCUUUAGUUAACACCUAUUCGAGCGAGAACAAUUCAAACGGUUCCCAUGGAGUACCAUGGAUGUUUGGGGUGCUAAUACCUUCCCCUUGCAUAACCG
rnacentral:lncRNA from 1 species